AUGGAAGGGGCGGCAGCCGGACAGCUGCGAGGUGCUCGGAGCGGGAUCCCGCGCCUGGAGAUGCUGACUCCGGCUUCGCGGGAAAGAGUCUAUAAAGAAAUAUGCACAAGCAGCAUCAUUCAGCAGGAUUUCAGACCAGAAAGAACCCUCCCGUCAGAGACUGGUGGCCAUACAAGGGUGCGCUGUGAAGCUUUCGAGACAGCAGACAGCCGGAGUCGUGAUCAGGGUGGCCAGGAAGGGAAACAACACGGUAGCAACCAGAGUGCCCUCCCAUGUGGAUUCCUUUGGUGACGAAUAAGCCAGUUGGUGUGCAGGGUGUUCACUGCAAGGCCCAGACAGGACUACAAGAGACCAGGACUGUCCUCAGUAUGUGAUCUCUCUCUCCUCUGGCGUCAGCUCUACCCAGGAACGGAUGUGAAGGCUGAAGCCCAGGCAAGGGCUCAUAGUGUGGGGACCGUGCAGCUGGAUUCAUGUCCAGUGGAAUUUGACACCAUGGCCGUCAUCAUCAUGUUUUGCCGUCAUCAGCACAGACCUCUGAGCAGAAAUGCCAGAACAAUG
rnacentral:lncRNA from 1 species